GUCUCUGUGGCGCAAUCAGGUAGCGAGUUGGGCUGUUAACCGAAAGGUUGGUGGUUCGAGCCCACUGAGGGACG